CUCCAAUCAUCAGUUGUUUUUUUCUCAAUAUCAUUUGUCAUCAUUUUUGAUACAGAAUUACAGUUUGCUGUUAAUGGUUUUUCUUCAUCGAUAACAGAGUUUUUCGCCAACAACAUUACUGUUAGGACCAUCAGAUUCUCUCAUAACUCUCACACGUGAUGGAAUUACUGCUACACCAAGCAAUCCACAAAGACUAAUAAUUAAAAUGCUAAUCGUUGAGUACAACCACACUAAAAAAUAAAACAACAUAUUCUUUUUAAUUUGUUAUUAAAAAAUUAUUUUCUUUAUCACAUUAAAA